GGAAUAUUGGGCAAUGGGCGAAAGCCUGACCCAGCAACGCCGCGUGAAGGAAGAAGGUCUUCGGAUUGUAAACUUCUUUUAUGAGGGACGAAGGACGUGACGGUACCUCAUGAAUAAGCCACGGCUAACUACGUGCCAGCAGCCGCGGUAAUACGUAGGUGGCGAGCGUUAUCCGGAUUUACUGGGUGUAAAGGGCGCGUAGGCGGGGGCGCAAGUCAGGUGUGAAAUCUAUGGGCUUAACCCAUAAACUGCACUUGAAACUGCAUCUCUUGAGUGCUGGAGAGGUAGAUGGAAUUCCUUGUGUAGCGGUGAAAUGCGUAGAUAUAAGGAAGAACACCAGUGGCGAAGGCGAUCUACUGGACAGUAACUGACGCUGAGGCGCGAAAGCGUGGGGAGCAAACA
rnacentral:rRNA from 1 species